UACGUAGGGUGCGAGCGUUGUCCGGAAUUAUUGGGCGUAAAGGGCUCGUAGGCGGUUUGUCGCGUCGGGAGUGAAACUCAGGGCUUAACCCUGAGCCUGCUUCCGAUACGGGCAGACUAGAGGUAUGCAGGGGAGAACGGAAUUCCUGGUGUAGCGGUGAAAUGCGCAGAUAUCAGGAGGAACACCGGUGGCGAAGGCGGUUCUCUGGGCAUUACCUGACGCUGAGGAGCGAAAGUGUGGGAGCGAACAGG
rnacentral:rRNA from 1 species